UACGUAGGGUGCAAGCGUUGUCCGGAAUUAUUGGGCGUAAAGAGCUCGUAGGCGGUUUGUUGCGUCGGCUGUGAAAACCCGGGGCUCAACUCCGGGCCUGCAUUCGAUACGGGCAGACUAGAGUUCGGUAGGGGAGACUGGAAUUCCUGGUGUAGCGGUGAAAUGCGCAGAUAUCAGGAGGAACACCGGUGGCGAAGGCGGGUCUCUGGGCCGAUACUGACGCUGAGGAGCGAAAGCGUGGGGAGCGAACAGG
rnacentral:rRNA from 1 species